rnacentral:sRNA from 1 species
GUCAGACUCCGCAUAUUCCGGAAUCGCGAACAGCUCGGCCGGCGGCGUGCCCAGCGAGGUCCAGAUAUACCCGUAGGCCAUCUUGACCGGAAGACCGCCGUCGAGCGUA